AAAGGUUUACCGCCUUGGGAUAGGCUUGCGUCUGAUUAGCUAGUUGGUGUGUAAUGGCACACCAAGGCUACGAUCAGUAACUGGUCUGAGAGGAUGAUCAGUCACACUGGAACUGAGACACGGUCCAGACUCCGUACGGGAGGCAGCAGUGAGGAAUAUUGGGCAAUGCACGAAAGUGUGACCCAGCAACGCCGCGUGGAGGAUGAAGGUAUUCUAUAUCGUAAACUCCUGUGAGAGCAGACGAAAGACAGAUUAUUAAUUUGGAUGACUGUAUGCUCAGAGGAAGCCCCGGCUAACUACGUG
rnacentral:rRNA from 1 species